CCUUGUCGUUUAUUUUUAGUACGUUCCCGAAGGUUUUAGAAAUUAUUUAAAAUGGGUCAAGGAUACUUAUAAUAACCCUGAAAUAAUUAUAACUGAAAAUGGGUUUGCUGAUGAUGGAACUGUAGAAGACACUGACAGAGUCACAUUUAUAAAGGAUUAUUUAAUGGCAGUUUGGAAUUCAAUAGAUAAAGAUAAGGUCAAAGUUACUGGUUAUACAUUCUGGAGUCUACUGGACAACUUCGAAUGGAACAGUGGAUACGAUCAUCACUUUGGUCUUUACAAAGUAGAUUUUACAAGCCCGAAUAGAACUAGAACGCCAAAGAAAUCUGCCGAUUUUUAUAGAGAAGUUAUUGAACGUCAUGGACUCAGCGAAGCACAUAAAAUUCAUUUCAUGCCAAUUUUAACAGUUUUAAGCUUUAUAUAUUUGUACCUUUAGAAGUAUACACUGGUUGUAAGAAAAGAAAGUUAUAUUCUGUGUGUCUAUAAAAUAAAAAAAUAAUCUAUCUAUAAUAAA